GCCCCAUGGCUGUGAAUAGGUGCCUUCAGCUAAUUUUAUGAAAAGGGGCUCUUUCCAAGGCUAAGGUAGAGUAGGGCUUCCUGUAAGAGAGAGAGAGAGAGAGAGAGGGAGGGGAAAAAAAGUACUGCUCUUGAUGCAAUCUUUUCCUCCUCCUCCUCCUCCUCCUCCUCCUCUUCCUCCUCCUCUUCCUCUUUGCCAGCCCUCUGCCUCUCCCUGCCAGCUUCUGCACCGCAGGGGGAGCGGGGAAGGUAUAAAAGUCCCCCCCCCCCCGGCUUGGUUACCAUUGGUCGGCCCGUACUCAGCCUUUGACCAUCGGGCUGAGAGGCACGGGGUCAUCUCGCAGCCCUUCCCACCGCACCUCAGUGCAUCCCACCCCCCGUCCCACCCCCUGCUCUCCGGUUGGGCAAUGCGUGCUGAAGGGGGCACCCACGCGAAGGGUUGAGAUAAAGGAUUUAAAAGUGAUGAAGCCAACCCCCUCUCCCCCAUCCCCCCCAUCCACCCCAACACCGUCAGUCUGCCUCGCUGCCCCUCAUCCAUGCUGUUCCCAAAUUUAUGCCCCACAUAGGGAUUAAAAAUAUAUUUACUGGGGGAGGAGGGCUCAAAAAGGAGGUUCCUGAGAGGGAAUCCUGGGGGAAUCCUGGGGAAGGUAUUUCUACUUCUGCUGUUUUAUUUCAUUUUGUUUCAUUUUGAGGGGGCUGUUGGCUCACUUCUCUCCAAUCUGCUCAACCAAAGGGGUGGGACAGCCUCCAUCCCUGGUGGGAACUGAGCAAAUGUGUACCCAGGGCUCUAUAGUCUUUCUAAGAUGAAGGGGGGAAAGAAAAAAAAGAACUCUGCAAAGUUUCGUGGUCCCAUCACAUCUCUUCUGCUGUUUUUUAAUUUAUUAUUUUUAUUUGGGUGGGAAAGAGGGAAGAAGCAAUAGUUUUGCUCAUAUGUUGCAUUGCCCCCCACCUCCUGCUGUUACAGGAAGAUGAUGUAAAUAAAAGAGGAUCUGAUAUGGUUUAGGAGACAUCCAGACUUUGGUCACCCCUCUGUAACCAGAGCUGGAACUGGGCCAGGGAUGCCUUCAUGCUGGUAAUUUCUCCAUCCAAUCAUUUAAUGAUUAAAGGCAGAUACUGCUGAAGCUGUGCAAGAAGGAAACUGUUCCUUCCCUCCAGCCCCAGCUCAAAGUUGGCCCAGCAGAACCCCAAUCUUAUGGCCACCAAGACUCUGAUGGAUGUUCUUCUGGAUCCCUGUUAUCUACAAGAAAAGUAAAUCCAAUACAAUAGGAUUCCAUAAAUCCAAUUACAGCAGUCUGCUUCGUUGCUCUUUUCUGGGAGGAUAGGAGUUGCAAGGGCUGCAGGUCUUUGGAGUCAUGAGCAUCAAACGUAGCUCUAAAGAGGAGUUUCCUCAAUUAGAGGAUGUAACCCAGCUCCCAUGGCUCUGUGCAAGAUAGGAGUGAGGACACAUGAGGUGAGCAGAGCAGGCUUGUGGGAGCUGAGCAGUUGGACUGUAUGGCUGAGGUCCCUCUAAAGUCACAGUGAAUCACACAAUCAUAGAAUCAUUAAGGUUUGGAAAAGACCUCUGAGGUCACCAACCCCAACCCAGCCCACCAUACCCACUGCCCACAUCCCUCAGUGCCACAUCUCCAUGGUUCUGGAACACCUCCAGGGAUGGUGACACCACCACCUCCCUGGGCAGCCUGCGCCAAUGCAUCGCCAUUUGGAGAACGAAUGCUUCCUAACAUCCAACCUGAACCUCUCCUGGCACACCUUAAGGCCUAAACCACGGUUGGAGCUCCUUCUCACUCAGAAGAGAACACGUGAGAAUUUCCCAAUCUGCAUCAUCCCAGCACUUCUCUUCCCAAGCAAACUGCCCACUUCUUUCCCCACAUGAAAAGGGUCUCUCUUUCUCAGCCUGACUCAUUGGGUGCUGAGGAUCAGGCCCUCUGCUUUUAGGUCCUACCACCACUGGAAAUUCUGACUCCCAGGAAGAUGCUUUUAUCAUCUCUAUUCAUCCCCAGACAUUGUGUAUUCUCUCAGCCAAGGUUACAAGGCAACUCUUCCCCUCUCUGCAAACCUCUGAGAGAGAGAUGAGCUCUUCUGCAUGUCCAGAUGCCUGCUGUUGUUUGUCUGGUCUCUUCCCACUGGAGGGCACAGGACUCCAUUCUCCUGCAGAUCUGUUCCAGGCAUCUUUUUUAUGUCAAGGCAAAGGUUCAGUGAAACAUCACGACUUGCAUCAGCCAAAGCCUUUGAUCAGGGAGGGAAAGGUCUGACAUGGAUGGGGUUGACAGCCACACUGCAAAAAUCCCUCAUUGUGCAAGAGGCCAGUCCAAUGACCGUGUGUCACCAAGGUGCACGGCCAGAACCAAGGGCAAACUCCAGUUGGGAGGUGAGCAAGGAAAACCCCUCCAAAACAGCCAGGAGCUAAAAAGAUUUGGCAAGCUUUGCAGGAGAAAACUGCCAGCAGGGAAAGACGAGGUGGGAGCAUUACUCCCGACAGAAGAAGCUCUGAUUAGCAGAUUAUCACUUAAGUGAUGUUGAUCCCAGCCACACUGCCUUCCAAAUGAGCCCUUUCACAGCUGCCAGCUGUGCCACGGAAUCGUGAAUGUAAAUGAGUGGGCCAGAUCCUCUGCUGGCAUCCAUGGAGGCAGCUUUGAUGGACCGUCCUGGAUCCACAACAGCUGGAGGAGUCUGGCUGUAGCAGGAGCCCGACUUGCUCUGCAGAUUUCUUUGAGAGCCUGUGGGAAAGGGCCUGAAGCUGGGCGAGCUGCAGGAUAGGGCAGCAUCAACUGCACAUCUGGAGGGACCCUCGAGUCUCUGACUUUUGCUGCCAGACAAAGCCUUCUUUACUGGAGCAAUCAGCCCCACCUGAUGCCAGGCAGGGUGUAAAGCAGGAUGUCGGAAGCUGGAGCCUCCUUAUCGAUAGCCUUGCUGAACUUGUAACCUGUUCCCUGGUACCAUAUGCCAGCACGUAUCAUCUUGCCCUCAUAAAGCUUUGUUUAUCUCCAUCCACCUUGUUGGGCUGAGCGUGUGGGAAGCAUGUGAGGGACUCUCAUGAGCAGCCUCGCGUUCUCCGAGCUGUUUUUCCCCUGGGGGUGAGCUUUCCCCAAAGUGCACAGUCCAUUUCACUCAGAGGUGAUGGCCUGAAACCUGCAGAGCUGGUGGUGAGAGGGGAACAAGCUUUCUUUGUGAGGCUGCUCCAGCUUGCUGGGUGUGCUGGGUGCACUGAAUGAAAUCUUUCAUUUGGUUCCUCAGAGAGUACAGGAAGAUCCUCAGCUUUUGUCCUGAAUGGGAUUGUAGCCCAGACCAGGGAAAGGUCACAAAUACCAUGCCCUGGUAGUGCUGAGGUUAUUGGAUUGAACCUUGCUUUGUUAGUGUAACCAUGUUGUGGACUUGGACUUUCAGCCAAGGAAAGAGGGUGCUGAAAAGGUGAGAUCAAAAGGAGGAGAUGGAUCUGUAAAAAUGGUGAUGAGAGUAAUGGAGAAUGGUUAUUGAGUGCACCUCGUAAUAAAGACAUUGGGAACACAAGACUGAAAUUUCUGGGACAGGUGAAGCACAAACAAGAAGAGGUGUUUUUUUAUAAUGGUUGUUCCAUGAGUAAUGCCUCCUAUUUUAUUAUGUUGACCCACAAUGUCAGAGGUGGAUGUUGGUAAUAUGGCAGUAGAGGUUGAACC